GACGAACGCUGGCGGCGUGCCUAAUACAUGCAAGUAGAACGCUGAAGAGAGGAGCUUGCUCUUCUUGGAUGAGUUGCGAACGGGUGAGUAACGCGUAGGUAACCUGCCUUGUAGCGGGGGAUAACUAUUGGAAACGAUAGCUAAUACCGCAUAACAAUGGAUGACACAUGUCAUUUAUUUGAAAGGGGCAAUUGCUCCACUACAAGAUGGACCUGCGUUGUAUUAGCUAGUAGGUGAGGUAACGGCUCACCUAGGCGACGAUACAUAGCCGACCUGAGAGGGUGAUCGGCCACACUGGGACUGAGACACGGCCCAGACUCCUACGGGAGGCAGCAGUAGGGAAUCUUCGGCAAUGGGGGCAACCCUGACCGAGCAACGCCGCGUGAGUGAAGAAGGUUUUCGGAUCGUAAAGCUCUGUUGUAAGUCAAGAACGAGUGUGAGAGUGGAAAAUUCACACUGUGACGGUAGCUUACCAGAAAGGGACGGCUAACUACGUGCCAGCAGCCGCGGUAAUACGUAGGUCCCGAGCGUUGUCCGGAUUUAUUGGGCGUAAAGCGAGCGCAGGCGGUUUGAUAAGUCUGAAGUUAAAGGCUGUGGCUCAACCAUAGUUCGCUUUGGAAACUGUCAAACUUGAGUGCAGAAGGGGAGAGUGGAAUUCCAUGUGUAGCGGUGAAAUGCGUAGAUAUAUGGAGGAACACCGGUGGCGAAAGCGGCUCUCUGGUCUGUAACUGACGCUGGGGCUCGAAAGCGUGGGGAGCGAACAGGAUUAGAUACCCUGGUAGUCCACGCCGUAAACGAUGAGUGCUAGGUGUUGGAUCCUUUCCGGGAUUCAGUGCCGCAGCUAACGCAUUAAGCACUCCGCCUGGGGAGUACGACCGCAAGGUUGAAACUCAAAGGAAUUGACGGGGGCCCGCACAAGCGGUGGAGCAUGUGGUUUAAUUCGAAGCAACGCGAAGAACCUUACCAGGUCUUGACAUCCCGAUGCUAUUUCUAGAGAUAGAAAGUUACUUCGGUACAUCGGUGACAGGUGGUGCAUGGUUGUCGUCAGCUCGUGUCGUGAGAUGUUGGGUUAAGUCCCGCAACGAGCGCAACCCCUAUUGUUAGUUGCCAUCAUUCAGUUGGGCACUCUAGCGAGACUGCCGGUAAUAAACCGGAGGAAGGUGGGGAUGACGUCAAAUCAUCAUGCCCCUUAUGACCUGGGCUACACACGUGCUACAAUGGUUGGUACAACGAGUUGCGAGUCGGUGACGGCAAGCUAAUCUCUUAAAGCCAAUCUCAGUUCGGAUUGUAGGCUGCAACUCGCCUACAUGAAGUCGGAAUCGCUAGUAAUCGCGGAUCAGCACGCCGCGGUGAAUACGUUCCCGGGCCU
rnacentral:rRNA from 1 species